GCUGGCCAGUUUGGGACUCCAAGCUGGGGAUAUACCACUUUGUCUAUGGUAUACAGGAGGAAUAACGUGGCCAUAUCCAGUACAGAGAUUGUCACGCCUUACCCCUCGGAUAGGGAUCAGCUGUUGAAGAAUUGAGUAUGCUAGUUCAGCUUGCCCAGACUGACCAAUGACCAGAGUGGUCUUAAUUUCUUGACUGUCAUUCAGAUUGGCACCAUGCUUUUGAGAAAAACCACUAACAUUUUGAGAAUGUCCAUUGGAUGACAGAUCUGGAGACUUACUGGCAUCUUC
rnacentral:misc_RNA from 1 species